rnacentral:rRNA from 1 species
GACGAACGCUGGCGGCGUGCCUAAUACAUGCAAGUAGAACGCUGAAGAGAGGAGCUUGCUCUUCUUGGAUGAGUUGCGAACGGGUGAGUAACGCGUAGGUAACCUGCCUGGUAGCGGGGGAUAACUAUUGGAAACGAUAGCUAAUACCGCAUAAAAUUGAUUAUUGCAUGAUAAUUAAUUGAAAGAUGCAAUUGCAUCACUACCAGAUGGACCUGCGUUGUAUUAGCUAGUUGGUGAGGUAACGGCUCACCAAGGCGACGAUACAUAGCCGACCUGAGAGGGUGAUCGGCCACACUGGGACUGAGACACGGCCCAGACUCCUACGGGAGGCAGCAGUAGGGAAUCUUCGGCAAUGGGGGGAACCCUGACCGAGCAACGCCGCGUGAGUGAAGAAGGUUUUCGGAUCGUAAAGCUCUGUUGUAAGAGAAGAACGGGUGUGAGAGUGGAAAGUCACACUGUGACGGUAUCUGGCAGAAAGGC